rnacentral:rRNA from 1 species
GCGUUAAUGCCGCCACCCUGAGCGCUAAUAUGCUGGUAUGACGCGCCGUUAAGCCGCUGUUCCCACUCUGCGGCGCGGUUACCGGCAAACACCAGAUGCGUGUGGCAAUCGAUAAGUCCCGGGGUUAACGCGUUAAGUAGACCGCCUGGGGAGUACGGCCGCAAGGUUAAAACUCAAAUGAAUUGACGGGGGCCCGCACAAGCGGUGGAGCAUGUGGUUUAAUUCGAUGCAACGCGAAGAACCUUACCUGGU